rnacentral:rRNA from 1 species
GAUGAACGCUAGCGGCAGGCCUAAUACAUGCAAGUCGGACGGGAUUCAGGAGCUUGCUUCUGAUGAGAGUGGCGCACGGGUGCGUAACACGUAUGUAACCUACCUUUAUCAGGGGGAUAGCCUCUCGAAAGAGAGAUUAAGCCCGCAUAAAAUCACAGCACAGCAUUGUGUAAUGAUCAAAUAUUUAUAGGAUAAAGAUGGGCAUGCGGAACAUUAGCUAGAUGGCGGGGUAACGGCCCACCAUGGCGACGAUGUUUAGGGGAUCUGAGAGGAUGGCCCCCCACAUGGGAACUAAGACCGGACCCAGGCUGCUACGGGGGGCAAAAGUAAGGAAUGUGGGAAAAGGGGGGAACGCUUAAACCUGCCAAGCGGGGUGAAGGAAGCCGGCCCUAGGGGUUUUAAACUGCUUUUAUAGGGAAAGAACCCCAGAUACGUUAAUCGGGCUAAAUGUACUGAAAAAAAAAGGAGCGCUUAACUCCUG